rnacentral:lncRNA from 1 species
CCUUGCUGCUCUAACAUAUGCCUUUAAAAAAUAUGGCCGAAGCAGUGUAAAUUGUAUCUAUAAAAUGCAUAUUGCUCAUUCAAUUUACGUUUGCAAAUUGCAAUUAUAUAAUUGCCACUUAAAACAUUGUGCUGUUUGAGCAUUACUGUGCUUUUAUGUAUGGGCAAACAGUUUUAAACUGUUGCAUCUGUUAACAUCUAUCAGUUUCCCUUCCCUUCUCUUCCCUAACACCACAGAGCUGUCAACACUGCGUGGCUUUAUUCCAUUUGGGGAUUACCAACAAGAAAACGUUCUCCUGUCCAUUUAAGAAGACACCAGCAAAUGGAGGAAAAAGAGGGGAUGGCUGGGGACAUGACACACAGGCACAGGUUCAAUGCAGAACAAUCCCCUAUGUGUUCUGACUGAAGACAGCAGGAAGAGGAGACACGAAGCUGGAUUUUCCACAGUAUUUCUCAAACGUUGUUAAACUCCCACUUGUCACAGUUUAUGGCUGCAUUCUUUCUCCUGCUCUGAGUUGAAACAAUUUUCAGUGGGAGUCCUUUGCAGUGGAUACUUCAGAAUUGUUGGCUCUGGUUUUGCUCUCUUAUAUCUUACUCUCACGAGACGACACCGUGUCCUCAAAAAAUGCCCAUACCAACCUAAAAAUCUCUAAUGUUGGCAUAAAUUAGUAUCAUGCUCAUAUCUUUUCUGUAUUUUUUCCCUUAGUUUGUUUCUAAGAUCUUACUCUUGCCCGACCCUUAUCUGUGCAUGCUUGAAGUUAGGAAUAUGAGUAACCCCGUGGAAAUGCUAAUGUUUGCAGACCUUGCUUUGUAAAUCAAGAGAUCUUCUUGUGUGUGAGUCUUGUAAGACAUUCUCUUUGGUGACAUUACUUAUAACAUCUGGGGACAUCACGUCAUUGUAGCUCAUUAGAUCUGCAAUUGGCAUGGCAGAAGCCAGCCUAACAGCUCUGAAGAUGUGUUACCAGCAGGGCAGGGAUUGCGUGGCAGGCAUCAGAAGGCAAAGUUCAGC